rnacentral:lncRNA from 1 species
AAUUAAACUGUGAUGGUUUCGCUUUGUAAUGUCUACAAAGCCACGAAAGCAUUGGGGUGUCUUGCCAGGACUCCACUGGAUGCAUAUGUGCAAGAAAUCAUCAUCUAUGCAGAGCUUCAAUACUGGGAGUGCUGCAGAAUAGAAGACAAUUCCUGUUUUAAGUGCAUUAAGGCUGUCAUGGAGAGCCCAUCCAUUUUCUCCUGUUUCGUCAUUUAGUCACAUGAUGCCUUCAAGGUCAUUCAGAUGUCAUGGCAACCCAUCAUGUCAAGGCUCCACUGAAGUGCACCUGAUGUAGUGAAUGCCGCCAGCGUCAACUAAAAGUAUCGCCGUCACUGCCUUCCGAAGAUAUUUCUAAUGCCUUUGAGAGAUCCAUGGCGCUGCCUUGAUGUCAUCUUGGCAUUUUCCCUUCCAGAUGCAGAUGUUGCUUAUCCACUGCUCCACUCACUGAAUCCAUUCUGUUUUCUUUUGGGGUUUGUCUUCAUUGCUUCUCUGUAGGACCCAGAUGUAAGUCCUUAGUUAUAGGACACAGGGAUGGGGAGCAGAACACGACUAGGCUCAGAAGCACUUCUUAGCACUGGUUUGUUCUGGGUCUUUUCUUAUACGUCUCAGCUCUCCCUUACCUUAUGCAUUCCAUCCUAGGAGGUACUUGGACCCCUCCAUGUGAAACUUGUCACACUGCUGGUCAUGCUAAGACAUGUCUAAAUCUCAGCAUGGAGUUUGAGCCCUCAAGGUGAAGUCCUUCCAGCUGCCUAGAUAUUCUUUCCUUUGGUGAAAUAUUAAUGAGUGUAUCACUAAGGUAAUUGAGUCAUUGUCUUCCUAACCAAUAAAAAUUCCAGCUUGG